GGGCGGAGAAGCAGCGGUGUGCGACCUGGGGCUUGGGAACCCAGUGAUGGAUCAGGACUCGACAGUGGUGCGGCGGAGAGCGUCGCUGCUGCGGUGGCUGCUGCUGUUAUUGCCACUGUGGUCGAGGCUGGCCUUGGGCGCGCUUCCUUUCGGCAGCAGUCCGCGCAGGAUCUUGCUCGACCUCCUGUCCGAGCAGCAACUGCUGGAGGUGGAGGACUUGACCAUAUCCCUGCUAAGGGGCGGAGGUUUGGGGCCACUGACGUUACCCCCGGAUCUGCCGAAUCUGGAUCCCGAGUGCCAGGAGCUGCUGCUGGACUUCGCCAACAGCAGCGCAGAACUGACCGGGUGUCUAGUGCGCAGCGCCCGGCCCGUGCGCAUCUGCCAGACCUGCCACCUGCUCUUCCAACAGGUCGUGAGCAAGAUGGACAACAUCAGCCGAUCCGUGGGGAAUACUUCAGAGAGUCAGAGUUGUGUCAGAAGUCUUUUAAUGGCAGAUAGAAUGCAAAUAGUUGUGAUUCUCUCUGAGUUUUUUAAUACCACAUGGAAGGAGGCAAAUUGUGCAAAUUGUUUAACAGACAACGGUGAAGAAUUAUCAAACAGCACAAUAUAUUUCCUCAAUCUAUUUAACCUCACCUUGACCUGCUUUGAGCAUAACCUUCAGGAGAGUGCACAUGGUCUUCUACCACCAAAAAAUUACUCAGAAGUGUGUAAAAACUGUCGUGAAGCAUACAAAACUCUGAGCAGUCUGUACAGUGAAAUGCAAAAAAUGAAUGAGCUUGAUAAUAAGGCUGAACUUCCUGAAACACAUUUAUGUAUCGAUGUGGAAGAUGCAAUGAAUAUUACUCGAAAACUUUGGAGUCGAACUUUCAACUGCUCAAUCUCUUGCAGUGACACAGUGCCUGUUAUUGCUGUUUCUGUGUUCAUCCUCUUUCUACCUGUUGUUUUCUACCUUAGUAGCUUUCUUCACUCGGAGCAAAAGAAACGCAAACUCAUUCUGCCCAAACGUCUCAAGUCCAGUACCAGUAGUGCAAACAUUCAAGAAAAUUCAAACUGAAACCAACAAGAUGAAGACUUGACAUCUUAUCACACGAAUGAUAAAACUUAUCUUGGUGGAAGAUAAAACUUGAUUGAAAAGAAGAAGAACUGUCAGUGUUUACCACAUACGCAGAGUGAAGAGAAGGCUAAUCCUGGGAUAUCUGACGUAUCCAAAAGCUGUUACCAUUUUUCGUGGUCUACUGUGAUCUAUUUAAACUAUGCUGCAGUUCAUUCUGCUGUUACUAUUCCCACUGCUGGUACAAAUAAAGCUGUCUUGAUUUGAAGCAUGUGUUUGAGGGCCAUUGAAAGCAAUCUUCAUUAAUGCAGAUGAAACCAGUUUACUAUGUUCAAAGUUAGAAAGAUGACAUAUUUGAGUAUAUACAUAGUGACUUUGUGAGCACCUUUCAAUAUUAUAUGUUGGAAAAACCAUUGCUUUGGGAUAUAAAGCUAAUAAGCACUUUAAAAAAGAAAAGACAGCCUUUAAUAUUUUUAUGGUGGGGUCAUUGCUCUUUAGAAAUUGCAUCAGCCUUAGUAGAUUUUAAAAAAUAAAAAUUAAGUGCUACACUAAAGGGGGUAUUUCAUUCUGUAGUGAUGGAAAAAUUCUGAAUUGAGACAUACAGCUUAUGUAUAAACACAAGAACAUCUUUAAGUUUUUGACACUUUAAAAUAAAGUAAUUUAAGGAAAUUACAAUGCUGUAAUUGGAUUUUAAAUACAUUUUUGGAAACUUCAGUUGUAAUUUAACAUCAUAUCUAAGUUUUUCAUGUAUUGAGUUUAAGUGCCCAUCUGUCUUAUAACUUUACUGCAAAUAAAAAUGUGCUUUUGGAUUAUUA